GUUGCUAUGGGCAACUUUUCCUUUGCACAGAAUUUGAUAAUUCUCCCCCAAAGUGUGGACAAAGGGGAGAGAAUACUUGGAGGGCAGCGCACACAGGCUGGAGAUAGUGAGUGAUACGCUUUACAACAGGACCCAUGGACAACAAUAGACAGGACCUGUCCCAUUCAGAUGAAUUGAAGACGCUGUUAGAGGUCAUUCUACAGGGAAGGGGAAUGCUAAUCUCUUCUGUGAAUGGAGGUGGAUCCAGUGUUAUCUAUCUACUGGAUAUCAUUGGAUGAAAAAUGUGUUAAGACUAAGAUACAGUUUCUGUGACCCUGAAACUCCUGGAGAGAUCUUCCCGAGUCCGUCUCCC